rnacentral:rRNA from 1 species
CUAAGGCUCCAGAGGAAGCCACGGCUAACUCUGUGCCAGCAGCCGCGGUAAUACAGAGGCGGCAAGCGUUGUUCGGAAUUAUUGGGCGUAAAGAGCACGUAGGCGGCCUUGCAAGUCAGUUGUGAAAGCCUUCCGCUUAACGGAAGAAUGCCAGCUGAUACUACAGGGCUUGAGUACGGGAGGGGAGAGUGGAACUUCUGGUGGAGCGGUGAAAUGCGUAGAUAUCAGAAGGAACGCCGGCGGCGAAGGCGACUCUCUGGCCCGAAACUGACGCUGAGUGUGCGAAAGCUAGGGGAGCAAACGGGAUUAGAUACCCCGGUAGUCCUAGCCGUAAA